GCGCCGGUGGUGUAAUGGCGUAGAGCAUUCCCGCCCGGUCAGAGGGAGGUGCGGGUUCGAGUCCCGCCAGGCGCU
rfam:Heligmosomoides polygyrus genome assembly, scaffold: HPBE_scaffold0001007